GGCCGACUUUUCAGUUCUCGCUCUCCAGCAUCCAAACGCAUUCUCUCUCUCCCCUUGUCGUCAAGGUUUUUCUGUGUUGAAAUGAGACUGAACAUAGUGGAAUAAAUACAAAAUUCAUGUGAAAAAUGCAGUCCAAGUGCUUGGAAUUGCAGCAAGAUUUAUUUUUGAAAGCUUAUAUGUCUGGAAGCAAAGUGUUGCUAACCUAUAAGCGAAAGCGGCAAUCAAGAACAGAUCCUGUACGGGGACAUGAGUGCCGUAAUUCACUUUUUGUUGCUCCCGAUGAUACUUCUUUAAACAAACCACCAGACUUGCAAGUUCAUUUGAUUGAUAAGCGUUCAUCGGAACAUUACAACAGAAAUUUUGCGUUAUGGUCUAGAAGAAUGUUAGAAGACUUGAAGAUGGGAGAUUGAAGCUGCAGAGUGCAUAUAUGAUACUGCUCUGGCAACUUCACAGGCGAUCUUGAAUAGGGAUGGCAACGGGCCGGUUACGGGGG